GAUGAACGCUAGCUACAGGCUUAACACAUGCAAGUCGAGGGGAAACGACAUCGAAAGCUUGCUUUUGAUGGGCGUCGACCGGCGCACGGGUGAGUAACGCGUAUCCAACUUGCCCAUCACUUGGGGAUAACCUUGCGAAAGUAAGACUAAUACCCAAUGAUAUCUCUAGAAGACAUCUGAAAGAGAUUAAAGAUUUAUCGGUGAUGGAUGGGGAUGCGUCUGAUUAGCUUGUCGGCGGGGUAACGGCCCACCAAGGCAACGAUCAGUAGGGGUUCUGAGAGGAAGGUCCCCCACAUUGGAACUGCGACACGGUCCAAACUCCUACGGGAGGCAGCAGUGAGGAAUAUUGAUCAAUGGGCGAGAGCCUGAACCAGCCAAGUAGCGUGCAGGAAGACGGCCCUAUGGGUUGUAAACUGCUUUUAUAAGGGAAUAAAGUGAGAGUCGUGACUCUUUUUGUAUGUGCCUUAUGAAUAAGGACCGGCUAAUUCCGUG
rnacentral:rRNA from 1 species